rnacentral:misc_RNA from 1 species
UUGUUGUUCUUGAUGCAUCGAUUACCUUCAACCCAUGGCCAUGUGUAAUUGCAAAGAUUAUUUGUCCAUGUGCCCCUAAAUGUUGGAUUUGUUCCUUGGACUCUAUCACUUCGAUGCACUCCAAUCUUCCCUGGAUCAUUUUCCAAACUCGAAUAGUUUUAUCUGCCGACCCACUUAGAAGACUCUCCCCAGAUUCGAAAUGCGUAAAACAUGUCACUGCUUUUCUAUG